GAUGAAGAACGUAGCGAAAUGCGAUAAGUAAUGCGAAUUGCAGAAUUCAGUGAGUCAUCGAAUCUUUGAACGCACAUUGCGCCCUGUGGUAUUCCGCAGGGCAUGCCUGUUCGAGCGUCAUUUCAACCCUCAAGCUCUGCUUGGUGUUGGGCCCUGCCCGCUGCGGCCGGCCCUAAAGACAGUGGCGGUGCCGCCUGGCCCUGAGCGUAGUACAUCUCUCGCUCCAGUGCCCGGUGGUAGCCUGCCAGAACCCCAACUCUCGUGGUUGACCUCGGAUCAGGUAGGGAUACCCGCUGAACUUAAGCAUAUCAAUACGCGGAGGA
rnacentral:misc_RNA from 1 species